UGCUGCUAUGCCAGAAAGUGGAGUGGCCACUUCAAGACCAUGAGAUGACAAGCCAACCCUCUAAGUGGGGCAGAGCACAAAGACAGAAGAGACCCAGUGUUCCCACAGAUUUUUGCUUGGGAUAAAAGCCAGGAUGGAGAAACACAGAAGCCAAGUAGGAGGAGAAGCCCCAUUUUACAGAUGAGAAGACUGAGGCUCAGAGGACUUAAGGGACUGAGCCAAAAUCACAUACCCAGAAAGCAUAAAAGCUGGAUUGGAGUUCAGAUCUGGUUAAUUUCAAAGGGUCCCACCCCCAUGGGCUCUAACUUGUCCACUCGUGUCCACCCACCCGUCCAUCCUCCCGACCCACCCAGGGGGCACACAGGGACAACCUCCUGCCCCUGCUCAGUCAUCCCAAGGCCAACACACAUGUGCUUGUCCUCCAUCUCAGAUUAUGAAGGAAUUCUCUG